CCACAAAUAGAAAUAUGCUAAAAUAUUAUAAUUUUAAUAAAUCAGAGUAAAAUGUAUUCUUAAAGAACAGAACAAAUCUAAAUGUUAAAGUUGUAGUAAUUUUUCCCAAAUAGAAAAAUAGACUACGAGACAUAUCAUAAGGAAACUACAAGCUCUUGAAGACCCUUGAUAAAUUAAGAGUCACCUCUUGCUUAUGCAUCCAUGACUGGAACAUGCUGGCCCCCCACACGACACUAAAACAAACGUGAAUUCACUACUUUUGUAACCCUAUCAUCUCAAGGAAAGAUGAUACUCAACUUGAAAUGCUGAAACAUUCAAGGCCUUGAAAUACUAGCCAACUUGCAGUCUUGCAGUCAUUGUUGAACCUUUAAUUGAAGCAAAGCCAGCUGUGACCUGGUCUCCUUUCACUUAUCUUUCUUCUCUUUUUUGGCUUCCUGCUUUUGGUAUAAAAGAAUCUGACUGAAAAUUGUACCAUUGGUGAUAACACCAAUGGUGGAGCCCAAAACAACACUACUUGGUGCUUUUUCCUGCACACUAGUAAAAACUCUCACUGCAAAAAACAUAAAUAAACAAUCAUAAUAUGCAUACGAAGACUAGUUCAUUUGACCAUACAACUCACCCAUCGAACCAGCAAAAUUCAUAAAACAGGUUAAGAAGCUGAGCUCUCCAGUGCUUUUGUUAGACAAAUUUUUCCAUAUCUGUGGAAUCCUAGCAAAGAGAAAGAUUGCAUGCUGGGAUGCCUGUAACAAAUUGUUCCGAUAUUAUAUAACAUUCAAGAAAUCAUCCAAAAAGAAGGAAAAAAAAUGGAAGGAAAAGGAGAACUAUGUAAAUCCCAAUAAAUAUGCUACAUGUAGACUUGAUACUAAAAUGACUACUUACAUAGAGAGCUUCAAACAGAACAGGAUCAAUUUGACCAGCUAAAAUAGUUGGUGCUACAGCACAAUAUCUGAAACACUAAUGCAAGGAAAAAUUUGUAAUUCUUGUAGUAUGUACUAACAAAGAGCAUUCAGGAUACAGUAAUGGCCUGAUCCAUGUCACAGUAGGCACAGGUUGUGAAAAGUAGUAGAUAGUAGCAACUAAAACUAUAGCUGUAAGAUAAGUAAAACAAGUGUAUUAGGUUUUUUUGAGAUAUACUACAACUUUCAAUAAUGCAGUUUAAUCUCAUAAAAAAUGCCCAACUACCCUCAAGCAAGGAGAACUCAAGAAAAGCUUAUUACAGGAAACUCUAGAUUUCAAAUAGUACUUUUGAUUAUCAAACUAACCUCGUUGGACUCACUAGUUUAACACAUAGAAUGUGCAUCAAGUGAUGUAAAAACUGCAUUAAUUGUUUAAUUCUAUUUCAUUUUCCACCAAAAUCAAUCAGACUCUCUUAAAUCUAUUUCCCCACAUCAAUAGUAGAAAUGAGAAUUGAACGGAAAAUGAAAAUAAACUAAGCGAACCUUGGAUCAAAAGGAACGCCAAUUCCCCGUAAGCCGAAAAGGGAAGGCCUUUGUGGAGACAGUAUGCAAGAGCUAUAGUAUAACCUAUGGUUUCUAGCUCAAAGGCGACAACACUAAGCCCUCUAACACUUCUAUGCCUCAAAAUUUUCAUUAUCUGAGGGACCUUGACGGUGGUGGAGGCGGCGACGAUACAAUAGCCGAGGAGUUUGGAGAUGAGAGGAAGCAAACAGUCCUUGUCAGGGAAGUUACCGUGGCGAAGAGAUCCAAAUGCGCAGCUGAAAUCAAUCCCCAAAAACUCCAUUGUUGUUUUCCCUCCUCGGCCGAAGCUGUGUCCUUGGAGAUCUAAAUUAAAUUUCCCGAACUACGACACUUUUGUAGCUACAUACAGGUACCACGCCGCCGUUAUUAAACUCGAUCGGGAGG
rnacentral:misc_RNA from 1 species